AUUGAACGCUGGCGGCAGGCCUAACACAUGCAAGUCGAGCGGAGCGCGGGACGGGUAAGUAUUGCCUAUGACUCUGCCUGGUAGUGGGGGAUAACGUUCGGUACCGGGCGCUAAUACCGCUUACUCUCAGCUGAGCCUAGGUCCGAUUAGCUAGUUGGGGGGGUAACGGCCUACCAAGGCGACGAUCCGUAACUGGUCUGAGAGGAUGAUCAGUCACACUGGAACGUGGACACGGUCCAGACUCCUACGGGAGGCAGCAGUGGGGAAUAUUGGACAAUGGGCGAAAGCCUGAUCCAGCCAUGCCGCGUGUAUGAAGAAGGUCUUCGGAUUGUAAAGCACUUUAAGUUGGGAGGCGUUACCAACAGAAGAAGCACCGGCUAACUUCGUGCCAGCAGCCGCGGUAAUUC
rnacentral:rRNA from 1 species